ensembl:snoRNA small nucleolar RNA SNORA84
GCCCUGUGGUUGCUGGAGGCUGUUGACCACUGCAACACCUGGUGGUGGAGGGGGUGGGGUAGAGCAGUGCUGUGCCUUAUGCAUGGGGUCUGUGUUUCCUCAGCAGCUGCCAUAGCCUGGACACUGUACAUGG